AUUGAACGCUGGCGGCAUGCCUUACACAUGCAAGUCGAACGGCAGCACGGGUGCUUGCACCUGGUGGCGAGUGGCGAACGGGUGAGUAAUACAUCGGAACAUGUCCUGUAGUGGGGGAUAGCCCGGCGAAAGCCGGAUUAAUACCGCAUACGAUCUACGGAUGAAAGCGGGGGACCUUCGGGCCUCGCGCUAUAGGGUUGGCCGAUGGCUGAUUAGCUAGUUGGUGGGGUAAAGGCCUACCAAGGCGACGAUCAGUAGCUGGUCUGAGAGGACGACCAGCCACACUGGGACUGAGACACGGCCCAGACUCCUACGGGAGGCAGCAGUGGGGAAUUUUGGACAAUGGGCGAAAGCCUGAUCCAGCAAUGGCGCGUGUGUGAAGAAGGCCUUCGGGUUGUAAAGCACUUUUGUCCGGAAAGAAAUCCUUGGCCCUAAUACGGUCGGGGGAUGACGGUACCGGAAGAAUAAGCACCGGCUAACUACGU
rnacentral:rRNA from 1 species